rnacentral:rRNA from 1 species
UACGUAGGGUGCGAGCGUUAAUCGGAAUUACUGGGCGUAAAGCGUGCGCAGGCGGCGCGUUAAGACAGGUGUGAAAGCCCCGAGCUUAACUUGGGAAUUGCGCUUGUGACUGGCGUGCUGGAGUGUGGCAGAGGGAGGUGGAAUUCCACGUGUAGCAGUGAAAUGCGUAGAGAUGUGGAAGAACACCGAUGGCGAAGGCAGCCUCCUGGGCCAGCACUGACGCUCAUGCACGAAAGCGUGGGGAGCAAACAGG